ACACUGGCAGCCCAGGCCUUGCUGAAGGGAGUCGGUGUUGGAGAUGAGAGUGCCACUGUCAUGGCUGCAACGUUGACAUGGAUCUUAAAAGAUGGGACUGGGAUGAUAGGUAGAAUAUUGUUCGCUUGGAUACAAGGAACCAAUUUGGACUGUGAUGCCAAAAGAUGGAGAUUAUUUGCAGAUAUUCUGAAUGAUAUGGCCAUUUUCAUGGAGAUUUUAGCACCAUAUUUCAAAGCCUAUUUCACCCCUAUUGUCUGCACGGCAGGAGUUUGUAAAUCCAUUGUGGGUGUUGCAGGGGGUGCAACAAGAGCAGCACUAACACAGCACCAGGCUCGCAGGAAUAACAUGGCCGACGUGUCGGCUAAAGAUGGUAGCCAGGAAACCUUAGUGAAUCUGGCUGCUCUGGUCUGUAGCUUAACAUUGGUUCCUCUUGUAACAGGAAAAGAUGUACUGAUCUGGAGUUUGUUUUUACUCUUCACACUGCUGCACCUGUUUGCCAACUACUCUGCCGUGACCAGUGUCGUCAUGGAGACCCUUAAUCAGGCCAGGCUCCACAUCCUGGUCCACCAUUACCUCCAGACUGGAGAAGUGCUCUCCCUUCAGGAAGUCAACUAUAAGGAACCAGUUUUGUGGAAAACAAGGAGAAAACUUAAUGUUCAUUUAGGAACCUCUAUAGGCAAAGUGUUCUCUAGAGCCAGUGUUUUAGAAGAAUCAAUUGCACUAUAUAAAGAUAGUAACUAUUUACUAGAUAUAAAUCUACAAACAGGUUUGUUUCAUUUUAAAAUAUUUCCAAAGUAGGUGAACGUAACUUCUAUGAUCUACAUGUGUAUAUACAGCUGUUGUUUACCGGUAUAUAUUGUCCAGUGCAUGUCUUCUGCCAAUUUAAAUAAUUUUACAUUUAAAAUAAUCUUCUUCUUUUCAUUAGUAUGUUCGUCUGUGUUGUCCACCAGUUUAACAUGUAUUUUACAUUUUAGGCUGUGUCUCCAUAAUCCUAUCCCCCCUCAGCACUACCAUGGAUCAUUUAACGAGCUGUUUCCAAGCAGAGGUCAUAGACUAUGUCUAUGAUAAUAUGUACAAACCUACGGCGAAAUCAGAAGAUCUUGGGAAUAUAAGGUCAGCUCUGAAUGAAGGUGAUACCCUUAGUGCCACUGCUGCAUCUUAUAACUAUGCAGCUGUACAUUUGGAGAAAUUCCAGCGGGGCCUAACUGAAAAGGGCUGGCUCUGUGAGCCCCUCCUUCUGGGCCCAGAUGAGUGGAGGGCCGAGUGGGGCAGUGCUGGGACACUCGACAAAAAAGACGUAUGAGAUGUCAGAAGUCAUUAUAGUGCUUAGUUGUGAUCCAUCAGUCUUAAACUCUGCAACAUAAAAAUCCUGUAAAAUUGGAAUACAUGUAUUACAUUGUUGUGAUUUAGUUAAGGCUGGCAUGGUGCCUUUAGUUAAGGAGAAAUGACCAUGUCAAUUCCUGUACAUUUAUGUACAUGUAACAACAAAUAAAUGUCAA
rnacentral:misc_RNA from 1 species